GAGAAAAAAUUUGAGAGCCAAUUUGUCGACAAAAUAUGCCAUACUUUAUGAGAUUAAAGGAUCGGUCACCGGUGUCGGGACACAUUGUAUAUUCGUUUAAAUAUUAACAUUU